rnacentral:misc_RNA from 1 species
UGGACUACUCGGGUAUCUAAUCCUGUUUGCUACCCACGCUUUCGCGCUUUAGCGUCAGUAUCUGUCCAGUGGGCUGGCUUCCCCAUCGGCAUUCCUACAAAUAUCUACGAAUUUCACCUCUACACUUGUAGUUCCGCCCACCUCUCCAGUACUCUAGUUUGGCAGUUUCCAACGCAAUACGGAGUUGAGCCCCGCAUUUUCACAUCAGACUUACCAAACCGCCUAGACGCGCUUUACGCCCAAUAAAUCCGGAUAACGCUUGCGACAUACGUAUUACCGCGGCUGCUGGCACGUAUUUAGCCGUCGCUUCUUCUGUUGGUACCGUCACUUACUUCGUCCCAACUGAAAGCACUUUACAUUCCGAAAAACUUCAUCGUGCACACAGAAUUGCUGGAUCAGA